GAUUGCAGGCUGAAACUCGCCUGCAUGAAGCUGGAAUUGCUAGUAAUCAUAGGUCAGCAUACUGUGGUGAAUACGUUCCCGGGCCUUGUACACACCGCCCGUCACACCAUGAGAGUUGAGAAUACCCGAGGCCCAUGUCAAAGUGGUCGAAGGUAGGCUUGAUGAUUGGGGUGAAGUCGUAACAAGGUAGC
rnacentral:rRNA from 1 species